rnacentral:lncRNA from 1 species
ACUGCAUUUAUUUUAAAUAAAUUUGGAAAAAUGGAGGAAGAGAAGGAAGGAAGAAGGGGAAAAGAAAUUUAAUAAUUGGAAUAUAAUAUGAUUUUUGGAUGCUUGAAUGUGUGUUAUUUCGAGGGGGAAGGAAUAUCGGUAUAAUUCGGGUUUAAUCGGGAGGAGGCAUCGCAGUGCUAUUUUGGCGGCACGGAUAAAUUUAAUGCCCCCCGACUCGUUAUGGCGUCGUGCUCACCUGCUCGAGUCCCUCCCCCCUCCCCUGCCGCCAAUGAAUUGUCCACGGAAUCGAACGGCACGCGUAUUCAAUUCCGGCGGAAUUCGACGCGCGUGGUCCCGACGCGAAACGGCGUAACCGUUUAAAGUCAUCGGUCGAUAAUUGAGUUAUUACUCGCCGCUUCGAUUCCCUAUCCUUUCCAGCUGGAAAAUUUCCAUUUUCAUUCUCGAAUUCGUCCCCUCCUUCCGUCCGAGAUUUUCAUUUUUUUUUCUCUCUCUUUUUCAUUUCGAGAAUUUCGAUUCACACACAAUUUAAAAUAUUGGGUUGGCAACUAAGUAAUUGCGGAUUUCACUCAUAGAUGGCUUCAGUUGAAUUUUUAGGUUUGCUGGCGUAGUCCAAAUGUAUUUAAUAUUUAAUAAAUCUCGAUUCUUCGUUUCCGUUCUCUCUUAUCUAAUGUUAAAAUUUAGCACGUCCAUUUAUCCAUUUUUCAAAAACGAAUCUCUCUCUCUUUCUCUCUAGAAAAAACACUCGCAGCGCUCGAGCUUCGAAGCCGAGUCGAAUUCGAUCGCGCUCCGUCGAUAAGAAAAAUUAGCAUGAUAAUUCGAGAAGGUUGGACGUCUCCUCCGAGUCGAAGCGUGUAGAUAAAAUAAACGGAAUCGUGUCGGAAUCACCUUGGUGGCCACGAUUCCGCCAUUCAAGGGAAUCGUUAAUCCGCGCCGCGCCGCAGAAUUAUUUGCCACAAUGGAAACAAGCCGCCGCGACAGAGCGAGGAGCGACCGAUUCAAAUCGCGACAAUGACGGCAAUGCAAAUCCGGCCGUGGCCGCAUCCACUGAAUAGUCAGGGCUUCCACGCAUAGCUGGGAUCACAUCCACGCCCCCCUCUCUCCCCUGUCCACGCUCCCCACACCGUCAGUUAUUUAUUAGGGUUAACGUUCAUACCUGUGUGAUACUGUCUCAGCCCUCCUCCUCUUUCCUCCUCCUCCCCGUAAAUCGAGCGUUUACCCAACUUUUAUUGGCAGGGGUUGGAGGGGUUGGUUCGAUCCCUGGGAAGGGAAACACGGAUGUUAAUCGAGGUUCGAGGCUGCUUUCGCACGUUGGAAAAUUGGAAAAGAGAGGAUAUUCGAAUGGUGGGUGCUAAAUGCCGAACAGGAUUUGUACGAAAAACGGAUUAGGGAAUUUUAAGCGAAGAAGUUGAAAGCAGGGCAAGUUUUACCGAGGCGAAAUUAUCUUUCGUUCUGGUUGGCUAUCGUUCAGCGCCGUGUUACGGGCCUCGAGUGAACUGCAACCGACAUAUGGAUAUGAUAACUAUGAAAGUUUCAAUUUGUUACCGAUGCCGAAGGAAAAAUGUUUGAACAAAUUUUUCGACAAAUUGAUCUUUCGUUAAUAUGAAAUAAAAUUAUCUCUUCCCUUUUAUCCAAAUAUGUAACGAUGAUAUAAUAAUAAUUUUAUUUAUAUCAAUUUUUUAUUGCGAUGUUAAUUAUUCUUCAUAUCUUCGUGUAUCAUUGUAUAAUUGAUACACAGUUGUUGAUGCAAUUAAUCGUAAUAAAAUAGCACUCUCCGUAAAUAAAACUUUUCGUACAAAGUAAACAUAUAAAUAUAGGAAUACGAUAUUUGAAACACGCGAGUUAUUAAUAGUUUGCGCAACCGAUUAUAUAAUACAAUUGCUCGAU